rfam:Helobdella robusta unplaced genomic scaffold HELROscaffold_11, whole genome shotgun sequence.
GACUCCGUGGCGCAAUGGAUAGCGCGUCGGACUUCUAGUGGUUGAAGAUGUAAUUCGGAGGUUGUGGGUUCGAGUCCCACCGGAGUCG